GGGGCACCACGGUGGCAACGGGCAAAACCCAGGUGAGAUCUUUGUUCUCUCUUUCUCCCCCUCCUAUAUUUCUUUCUUUUAAUCCCUAGAAAAAUAAUGGAAAUCAAUGCAGAAAAGGAAAGAAUAAAUUGAAGGUAAAGGCACCACCUUUAGAAACUUUUGCUUUUCUGAUUGCUUUGUAAAUCUAUUUUUUGUAUUCCAAUAUGUCUAAUAUACGCGUAUUGCCUCCCCAUUACAAUGAAAAUAAGGCUUUUAUAUAGCCGAAAAUAAAAAAUAGAAAAAUACAAAGAAUUUCCUCUCUAUUGUUGUUUGGCUAAACCUAUGUUUAGGUUUUGGGCCAUUGGGCCACAUUGUAAAUGGGUAUUUGGGUCUUGGUUUAGUUGGGCUAUUUGUAAUAGUUUUAGACUGUUAUAAGAUUUAAAUUUUGGUCUUGUAUUUGAGUUAAUAUCGGACUUUUAUUAUUGGGUUUUUAUUUUUUGUUUUUGGUUUGUUUGUAACGGGCCGGGCAAAUUUGGCCCACUACAGCUGCCCCUCUUUGCUAAUUAUCGUGUAACGAGAAUAGAGCAAAGACUAUAAAAGGGCCAAAUUUGUCGAGACCUGCCGAAUCCCGACUUCCCUUGGCACUUCUUUUCUUUCAGUAUCCUCAAUGUGUUCUACUGCAACUUCGGGGGUAAAAUUUGUGGAUUUAGUCUAUGUUUCUGUAAUUAGCUUGAUCUGUUCUAUCGCGGCUUCGAGGAGAUAAGACCUACAAUCUUCAGCCUACUCCACUACAACUUUAGGGAGCUAGGAUGGUGGCUUAAAUCUGCUUCACUGCAACUUCAGGAAGCCAAGAUUCGUCGUCUUCGAUUUUCCCCACUGCAACUUUAGGGAGACAGAAUCUACAAUAUUCAGCCUACUCCACUACAACUUUAGGGAGCUAGGACUUGCUUAAAUCUGCUUCUGCAACUUCAAGAAACCAAGAUUCGUCGCCUUCGAUUUGCCCCACUGCAACUUCAGGGAGACAAGAUCUACAAUAUUCAGCCUACUCCACUACAUCUUUAGGGAGCUAGGACUUGCUUAAAUCUGCUUCACUGCAACUUCAGGAAGCCAAGAUUCUUCGUCUUCGAUUUGCCCCACUGCAACUUCAGGGAGACAAGAUCUACAAUAUUCAACCUACUCCACUACAUCUUUAGGGAGCUAGGAUUUGCUUAAAUCUACUUCAUUGUAACUUCAGGAAGCCAAGAUUCGUCGUCUUCGAUUCGCCCCACUGCAACUUCAGGGAGACAAGAUCUACAAUAUUUAGCCUAUUCCACUACAUCUUUAGGGAGCUAGGACUUGCUUAAAUCUGCUUCACUGCAACUUCAGGAAGCCAAGAUCCAUCGUCUUCGAUUCACCCCACUGCAUCUUCAGGGAGACAAGAUCUACAAUAUUCAACCUACUCCACUACAUCUUUAGGGAGCUAGGACUUGCUUAAAUCUGCUUCACUGCAACUUCUGGAAGCCAAGAUUCGUCGUCUUCGAUUUUCCCCACUGCAACUUCAGGGAGACAAGAUCUACAUUCUGUUUCGUAGGCCUAUGCUUAUGCCAAAUAAUUAAGAUGCUAUGAUCAACAUGAAUCAAUUGUUCCUAACUAGAUGUGAUGUUUAUGUCAAAUAAUUAGAAUGCUAUGAUCGAAAUGAAUCAAAUGCUCCUAACUAAAUGUGUUAUGAAUGAUAUAUGAAUGCGAAAAUGAAAAUGAUCCAGGUAUCAUUGCUCGUUCAUCAGGACAUUAUCACUGGCAUAUUAUGCGACCAUCUUGUUCAGCUGGUAUUCUUGACAGAAAACCCAAAGAAACAAUCUCAAUCUACUCGGCAAGCUUGCCCUACUGAAACUUUUUAGAGUUUUUGCUUAUCCAAUCCACUGCAACUCAGGGUAUAGGAUCAAUUUGAUUUGUUACAUCAUUCUUCGGGUGUAAUGACCCUCUGUGCAUGUCUAAUAUUUGCGUGAAUGCAGAAUAUCAUCUUUCUUUUCCUGAAAAUGAUCCCCUCUUACACUUGGAUUGACAUUGCUUGUCAUUUGUCGAGGUUGUAUCACCAACGAAAUAUCUUGCCUUUUUGUUAAUUGAUACCUUUAAUAGAAAAUUCGAAGAGAUAGCCACAAUUUAGACUCCCCUUUCUCAAACAUUUCCAUCCCUUGGGUUUGGUGAGUUCUCAACAACAGUCCUGUUUCAGGUUCUUGUACUAUUUAGAAGCCUUUCGAGUAAUAUACAGAACUUUUUUUAUUAUGAAAGUAUUAUUGGUCCAUUAAUCGUUAUUUCAAUGCAAAAUGCUUGAAAAAGAUCAAAACAAUGGACAAGAAGAAAAUUGGGUAAGAGCACAGCUCGAAACAAAUAAAUUAUUCAAAGAUCGUAAAUACAAUAAGAAGGUAAUUAACUCAACAUGAAUAAGUUAAUCAGAGAUAGCAAUGCAAUAUGAAGGAAGUUUAUUUGGAGCAUAUUUUGAAACGAAUAUAGUAAUAAAAGAUAGUAAAUUCAGUGUGGGUAAGAUGAAAACUAGGUGCCCCAGAUAUCGCAGCCCAAGCUUCUCUGUACAAACUUCUUGAGGUCCAUUUUGAGCUCAAUAUGUAUUUAGGAGAUCCAGAGUACUUUGUCGAUGCCCCGAGACGAAGCAUACUUCUUCAUUGUUAAUUUAGACGUAGCAAGACUGUUGUAUGCCUCACUUUGAUCCAAAUUUGAGCCGCCCUUUCUGGGUUUUCGACUCAAAUCCCCUUUGGUUUCAAGGCGCCCUUUGCGGGUUUUCACCUUGGCCUCUCCUUUUCUUCUUCUUUUUCUUUUUCUUCUUCUUCUUCUUUCUUUUUGUUUUUUUUAAGGUCUCAAAGCAUCUUUUGAGGGUUUUCGCCUUGGCCUUUCUUUUUUCGAAGUCCUUUUAUGUAAAAAGGAACUUUUCAACGCCAGGUCCUCCUCGUGGAGUUCUCUAGGAAGAGCCUUUCUGACGUAAGCUUGCAUCAUUCAUUUCUGGUACAUUAGGCCAUGUCAUAUGGCUUUCAACCUCCUUUCUUCAAAUUCAACUGAUCAUAUCGGGAUUGGAUCUAUUCUGCCUGAUCUAACUUCAGCUAAGACUUGGCCAAAAGAAAUCUUGUUUUCAAAACCGUUUCUAUCCCAUUAAGCAGACGAACAAUGUAUUGCUCCGGCAAAGGUUCUGGCCGAUGUUCAAUAAGUAUAGAGGGUAAAUGGUAACUUCUUUACGCCAAUCUCUACAAGCCUCGAUUAUCUUCCAUGAUUUUUGCUGCGUCAUGAUAUGGCGUUUGAUGUUUGAACAGAUUGUCAACUUUUGACAUUGAAUCUUUCUGAUGUUCUUUAUCGGCACCUAAUCUCCCUUUUUUCUUUUUCUUCUUUUUUUUAAGUUCGACGACUAUCGACUUAGUAACAUUGGCAUAUGAAAUGGCUUUUACCCAUUCUAUGAAGUAAUCGACAACCUCAAAGAUGAAUCGAUAUCGAUUAGAAGCUUUUGAUGGAAUCAGCCCUAUAAUAUCCAUGCCUCAUAUAUAGAAAAUCUUGUGAAGAAAAUGAGGAAGCCUAAAAGUCUUGUCUUCUUUCGUUAGGCAUUCACAGCCUGACUGAUACAAUCCCCUUCCAUGGUGAUUAGCAGCACUCGAACCUCAUGAUUAGCCUAGCUAACGUAAAACCAUUAGUACGCGUCCUCCUAACAUUCAUAUAGACCCCUUUUUAGCAUCCACAAACCAUAGUAGCUCAGGCAUAUCUUGAUACGAUCAUGCAAAAAAUAUCUUUGCAUUCUUGACAUCUUGCUUUGUCUCUGUGGUGUUAUAUACUCCACUCUUUAUCUCUUUCUCUUCUCUCAGGUUCGCGACGUCUAUUGCACCUUUGUAAGGUAAAAUCUAUUUCUCAUCUUGUUCUACCAUCCUUAACAAAUUAAGAGAUAGACUACAAUCUCUAUCAUCUUCAAGGUCCUGAGAUCCCUCUAGAAACAUAUCUUGCUCAAAAAGAGACUCGGAAUUAGUGACAGCGUCGCUCACGUCAUUGAUAUCUGGAGACCUGUUGUAGGUACGAAGGCAUAUUCCAAAGAAUGAUUCUAAGGAUGAUUAUUUGUAUGGUAUGAUCAUGAAUGAAAGAAUCUAAGGAUAAUCGUUUGUACAGUAUGAAAUGAAUAAAAUAAUAUUUACUCAAGAUAAUAACAAGCAUGUAUUUCAUUGAAAUAAAGAUUUUGGGUACAAGCCUAUUUCACAAAAGGAUCCUUGUUGCUUCUAGGCUUAAAACAACAAGUGUGUUUUGAAUAUUACUCUAGUUUAGCUCUAAAAAUACAAAGAUCUUCUUUCACAGUCCCAUUGUUUAAAACUCCCUAAGUACGUAAGGGCAGAAGCUUGGGAAAGUCUACUCCCGGGUUUCCUCUUCUGAUACGUCAUUAAUGUUUGGAUUCCCCAAUACCAGGUCUUGCAUUGGAGUCCUAAGCUCGAUGUACCCUUAAAUCUCAUGCCCCAUGUAACAACCCAAACCCGAGGCCGUCGCCGGAGUCGAACACGAGGUGUUAACAGACUUCAAACCACUUAAAAAAAAUUUCCCAGACAAGCUGCCAGUCUGCGUACUAGUCGCUUUAAAAAUCAUAUCUUGAGUUCUGAAACUCGAAAUCCAGUUCCGUAAAUUUUCUCUGAAACUAGACUCAUAUGCCCAUCUACAUAUUGUUUUCUAGAAUUUUUGGUCAGGACAAUUAGUACAGUUUAUUAGUCAAAGUCUCCCAUGUUACAGGGAUCGACUACACUGACCUUUGCGCAUUACGACUUGGAUAUCUCCCUGCACAGAGCUUCAAUACUGAUUCCGUUUAUUUCUAUAGAAACUAGACUCAGAGAGGAAUCUAUACAUGUAUGGCAUGACUCCUAAUUAUCUCUGGUUAAUUUAUAAUGAAUUUCCAAAGUCGGAACAGGGAAUCCAGAAACCGUUCUGGCCUUGUCUCACGAGAACCUAAAUAUCUCUUAACAUACUGUCCAUAUGAUCAUUUCGUUACUUUCCUAUGAAAAUAGAUUCAUCAAGGUUCGUUUACAUAAUUUAUUCAUUAUUUAAUUCCAAUCCUACUAUUUUUAGUGAUUUUCCCAAAUCUACAUCACUGCUGCUGCCAGCAUCUGCCUUUAAGGUAGACUUUACCUAUUUCAUAGUUUCCAUGAUUCAACUAGCCCUUUUAGCAUAAAUAGCACAAAUUAUGAUAGUGAUUAACCAUUCCAUACCAAAUGAUUAUAACAUUAUGCUCAAACAUAUAUAAGCCAUUUUCGCAUGGCUAUAUACAUUAACCAAAAUAUUCUUCCGCCACUAGUCUAUUUUAUACAUGCCAUAAGAUAAUCCAAAACAUAGCAGUACCAAACAGUGGAUAGUGAUAGUGUGACUAGUUGCUGACGAUCCCCGAGCCUGUAGCUUCGCAAUGAGAUCUAUAAAACAGAGGAAACAGAGUAAACGGAGUAAGCAUUACAAUGCUUAGUAAGUUUUAAGCAGUGUCAACAGAUAACAAUCAAAUUAUAACAUAGUUGUUCGUAUUUUUAUUUCACUCUUCCUUCGGGCAUACCAUCCCUUUACCGAAUAUGCACAUCUCAUCAUAUACAAUAGGCAGAUAAACUUUCACAUAAAAGUGAGCUCAUGUGACAUAGAUAUAUCGUAUGAUUUCACAUCACCUCUCACACUGAUCCGAUGUCACAUAAUCAUAGGAAUAGUCUCAUAGAUUGCUCUCGUAUGCAUCACAUAACUACCUUAUGAUUUAGUGCAAGUCAAGCUCACAUAUAAACUUGGAGUACAUACAUGUUUAACCUUUCGCAUUGAAUAUAUUUAUAAGCAAUUCUUAUUACGAAGUCUUACCCGGACAUAAUCUCCACACGAAGUUAUCGGGUCUUACCCGGACAAAAAUUCCCACACGUAGUCAUCGGGUCUUUAGAGCUCAGAUAUAGUACGAGCACGAAGCUUACGGACAUUAAUCAGUGAUAAUAUUCUCGCAUAAAGCCUGCGGGGUUUUAACCCGGAUAUUGUACUGACACAAAUGCCCUUCGGGACUUAUCACAUUUAUGCACUUUCACAUCCAUCACGUUGGCCACUCGGCCCCGUCACAUAUAUACACUUUCACAUUCAUCACAUCGGCCAUUAGGCCUUAUCACAUAUAUACACUUUCACAUUCAUCACAUCGGCCAUUAGGCCUUAUCACAUAUAUACACUUUCACAUUCAUCACAUCGGCUAUUAUCACACAUAUACACUUUCACAUUCAUCACAUCGGCUAUUAGGCCUUAUCACACAUAUACACUUUCACAUUCAUCACAUCGGCCAUUAGCCCUUAUCACAUAUAUAUACACUUUCACAUUCAUCACAUCGGCCAUUAGGCCUUACUAUCAUUUCAUAUUCGAAUACUCAUAAACUUACAAUAUCACGAUUUAGAAUUCAAGUAUGGGUUUAAUCAAUAGCUUAUGAGCAACUAAAACAAGUUUAUCAAGGUUCACAACAUAAUCUCAAAUUCAGCACAAGCUGUUUUCCCUGAGCAAUAGUCACUAAAUUAUUUAUAACUGGAGCUACAAAACUCCAAAUCACUUUCCGUUAAUUUUUCCUGAAUAUAGACUCGUAUAUCUUCCAUCCAUAAAAUUUCCAGAAUUUUAGGUUUGGCCAAUCAAUACCAGAUUUUUCUUAAAGUUUCCCCUGUUUCACUGUUUGACUAAUCUGACCACUCUUCACUACGAAUCAAAUUUCUCAUUUUACUGAAUUCAAAAUGUGUUUUAUUUGAUUUAAUUUGAAACUAGACUCAUUAAGGAGUCUAAGCAUAUAAAUUUUAUCUUAUAACCAUUUUUGUACAAUUUAUAAUGAUUUUCUAAAAACAGAACAGAGGAUUUCAGUGUCAUUCUACGCUGUCUCACACAACUUUAAGUAUCUCGUUAUCGGAAAUUCCUUUCCUUACACGGUUUCUUUUAUAAGAAACUAGACUCAUUAAGCUUUAAUUUCAUGUCUCAUACAGUCUCUAAUUCAAAUCCAUAAAUUUAUGGUGAUUUUCUAAAUUCACGUUGCUGCUGCUAUCCUAAGCAGACUAUUUCAAAUUACCCUUGAUUUCCCAAGCUCAAACACUUAAGAACUUACCAUUUGAGCUUAGAACAUAUCAUGGCCACAUCAUAUCUUAUUAAAUCAACUCAUCAUGUCCUAUUAUAAUUGAAUUUACUCAACGUUUAAUCACUUAAAACUUACCUCGGAUGUGGUCGAACAAUUUCGGCGGCUAUUCGAUCACUUUUUCCUUUCCCUUAUCCAACUGUGGUCCUCUAAGCUCUUGAGCUAAUUCAAACAAAUUUAACUUAUUAAAGUCUCAUUAUGCUAGCUUAUGGCCGAAUAUGACAAGGAGUUUGAUUGGUCAUAUGGCCACCUUCUAGCUCAACUACACAAUGGUCAUAUGCAUUUUUUAAUCACAUCAAGCAAUUUAAUACAAUUCAUUCGAACAUCAAAAGAAAACCUCAAGGUACUUAGCCCAUAUAUACUUUAGGCAUUAGAGUCACAUAUAUAUAUGGAAUCAUGAAUCAAACUCAACAUUUUAGCUAAUAUUCCCCCUUGGCCGAAUUUUCUAAGCCAAGACAAAAGCAUCAAUAUGCUUGCCUCUAACCGAAUACAUGCAACACCAAUCUUCUUCCUAUGGCCGAAUAUGCAUGUCUAUGUUUAGGCCGAUUAUAUACUUAAUACCACACAUAAAUGGCAUACAUUUUACUAACUAAUGCAUUACAUAUUAUUUAACCAUGUAUAUCACCAAUCAAUUUCAUCACAAUUUCACUUAAGCCUAUUCUCAAUACAAUACAUCGUGCUCAAAUCAUUAUUCAAGUUCAAAUUCGGCCAGCACACAUAUACAUACUAGCAACUAUGUAUUAACAUUGCAUUUCAUACUAUAACCGAAUGUAUAGCUCAUCGAAAUAUAUUUAUUCAUGUUCCCUUAACACAUAUUGGUCGACUAGAUCAUGCAUUAUUCUUUGGCACAUUUGGUCAUUAAAGCAAUCACCUAUUUAACUUUCAAGCAUUUUUAUACUAACAUUUCUCCCAAGGCCGAAUUUAUAUACAACCUUUAGUACUCAUUUAAAGUUUAUAUUUUAAGUAAUUAAUAUACAAAAUAUUAACCAAAUAUCCAUUUACUAAGCAUUUUAACAAAUUUUCCUUCAACUAUCCACACAUUCGGCAAUCACAUAAUCAAACACUAAACCUUAACUUCCAAGCCAAAACAACUAGCAAAUUCAACACAUCCAACAUAAAUUUCCAUGCUAAUGACAUCAAAACAACUACUAAGAAUUUCAAGCUCCUUGGCCGAAUUUCAAUCUUCCAAAAUAACAAAAAUUUGAGCCAUGAAAUAGGUAGAAUUCAAACUAACCAUUCAAUUUAUGCAUGAAUUUCCAAGAGUAGCAUUGUACAUACCUUGAUCUAGCAAUCUCCUUAGCUGAAAAUUUUAACAAAAGGAAAUUUCUUCUCCACCCUUUCCUAGCUACAGCAAUGGAGGAAUAAACCAACUUUGGUUUCUCCUCCCACUAACACAUUAUUUUUAUUACCCAUACUCUUUUAUUCAUCUUUAAUUCAUCUAAUACAUUUUUUAUUACAUAUUUCUCACCACUAAUAAAUAUAAUAAUAUUAACCCAUGCAUAUAAUGCCCAUACUUAUAAGCUUGGCCGGCCACUAGCAUUAAAAGUGGCAAAUUGGCAUGCAAACCCACUUAUUUGCAUCAUUCAAUAAUUAAUCACUUAAAAUAAGCCACACAUAUAUUCAAAGCUUCUCACAUAAGUCCUUUUUAUUUAGAAACACAUUCAAAUUGACAAAAAUCAAAGCAUUCAAAUUUCACACAUGCAUGAUCACAUAUUUUAGACAUAAAAUAUUAUAUUCAAUUAUUUCUGCAACUCAGUUUAGCGGUCCCGAAACCACUUCCCGACUAGGGUCAAAUUAGGGGUGUCACAACUCUUCCCCCCUUUAGGGAUUUUCGUCCCCGAAAAUUUCUACCGAUGCAUAGUUUAGGAUAACGUCCUCUUAUUGAAUUAUAUUCAUAUAAACAUUAGCUCAUCGAUGGCAAUUGUAAUUCAUUAUUGAUUUCGCAUCGAUCUGUAAAAUCAUUUUCUUAUCUUAAAACAAAUACAUAAACAUUUCUACAAGUAUGCACAUAUAUCUCAUUUUCUUGAUUUCAUAAGUAAUAAUCACUUAAUUUAAUUCACAAUUGCAUCUCAAACACAUAUUAAGCACAUAUUAAUAUGUAUAAUUCACAUCAUCAACCCACAUAUUUGUAACCCAUGUUUUCAUUCAUAAAUAAGCUGUAACCUAACCGAACAUAUACUCAAACAUCCCAAUAAAUAUCCUUUAUAACUUUAUCACAUCUCAAUAUUCAACUUAACUCAUUUCCAAAAGAAAAGUCAACUUCCACGUACCUGAACAUUUAGUUCAUUUAGCACAUUCAAUCAUAGUUAACGUUACCCGUAUACAGUCGAAUAGGCAUAAAGCCUAAUAUAAUACUCUGGCAUGAGAUUUAUUCUAGCGCAUAACUCGUAUAUCCAAAAUUAUCAACAUUCAUCAAAAAUUCUUUCAAACUUUCGAAUGUCGAAACUUAAUCAAAAUAAUUUCUUGAACAAGAUUAACAAAAUAGUGUCCAUUCAGCAAUAGCACAUAUAGCUCUUACAAUGCCAUAUCCUAGAUAUGGUCCUGCAUAUUCUCACAUAUCGAGCCGAUGCCAUGUCCCAGACAUGGUCUUACACACUAUCUCAAAUCAAUGCCUUCGUCCCAAACGAGGUCUUACAUGAAUUCCACUUCACACACUUAGUGCCCACUGACCGAUCUCGCACUCAUAGUGCUCGGUUAAAGGAAUUCGCACACACACAGUGCCUCUAAUUAUUCACAUACAUAGUGCUCUUAUUCAUUCGUUAAUACACAUUGAUAUGACUUAACCAAGUCUAUAAACAUCAUGUAUGUACACUUUUAAACAUAUCAUCUCAUUUAAAUUUGAAUUCGUAUAGUAAUGAAUACUUAAACUUUGCUCAAAUUACCGGCACGAAGCCUACUAGGCACGAAGGCCCGAAUACACGUCACCAGCAUGAUUGCUCUUCGGGAUUUAGCACGGAUAUAUCACUAGCACGAAUGCUCUUCGGAACUUAGCCCGGAUACAUCACUAGCAUGAAUGCUCUUCGGGACUUAGCCCGGAUACAUCGCUAGCAUGAAUGCUCUUCGGGACUUAGCCCGGAUACAUCACUAGCAUGAAUGCUCUUCGGGACUUAGCCCGGAUACAUCACUAGCAUGAAUGCUCUUCGGGACUUAGCCCGGAUACAUCGCUAGCAUGAAUGCUCUUCGGGACUUAGCCCGGAUUUAGUAACUCGCACCAAUGCCUUCGGAUCUUAGUCCGGAUAUGGUCACUUAGCACAAAGCCUUCGGGACUUAGCCCGGACAUCAUUCGAAUAACCAUGCACAUUUAACAAUAAAUCAUGACACAUUCGUAUUUCAUUUUCAUUAGCAAAACUCAAACACAAGACACUUAUCAUUCUUGCAAUUUCGGCUCAAUAGCCACACACAAAGAGCAUGAUUUUGAUUUGCUUAAAACAUGAUCUAAUCAAAUCAUAAUUUAAGCUCUAUUACUCAAGAACUUACCCCUUUCCGCUGUCUGAAAUCGACUUGGUAAGGUCGCACCCUUAAUAUAAAUAAUUGAUAGAAAAUAUAUAUAUAUAGUGGGUUCGCACACAUAGUGCUUAAUAAUCAACCACGCACACUUAGUGCCAUGUACUUUAAACUCGCACACUUAGUGCCAUGCAUUUCAAGCCCGCACACUUAGUGCCAAUCUCACAACCGUGAACACUUAUUGCCCGCACACUUAGUGCCAAUCUCACAACCGUGAACACUUAUUGCCCGCACACUUAGUGCUAAAAACCAACCACUCUAUACGCUUCACUGCCUUUUUACAUUCGACAAUUUCGUCUCUACAUACAUAUACACAUAUAGCAAUACACAUUAGUAUAUCAUUUACAUUACUUGAAUACAAACACAACAUGCUUAUCGACCAUUCAACUUCCAGUUCCAUAGCCACAUACAAAAAUCACAUUUAUAGUCAUAACACUCCUUCAAAAUUGCAUCACUUAUACCCUUAUAAUCUAAUCCAAAUCGAAAUUCAAAUACGAGUACAUGAUACGUACCUGAUCAACUUAAUAAUUUAGGCAUAUCUAAAUGAAGUUAUAUCGCAAAUUCUCAUAGUCAGAAGCUUGCUACAGCUCGAUCGGGAUCAAGAUUCAUUAUAAUACAGCAAACACAUUUUAAUAGCCAAAAAUCAUCACACUAUCAUUUUAUCACUUUAUGGCAUGUAUAAAUAGACUCACGCGUGCUACGUUAGUCCUAGAAUCGACUAAACCGUAGCUCUGAUACCAAUCAAAUGUAACACCCCAAACCCGAGGCCGUCGCCGGAGUCGAACACGAGGUGUUAACAGACUUCAAACCACUUAAAAAAAAAUUUCCCAGACAAGCUGCCAGUCUGCGUACUAGUCGCUUUAAAAAUCAUAUCUUGAGUUCUGAAACUCGAAAUCCAGUUCUGUAAAUUUUCCCUGAAACUAGACUCAUAUGCCCAUCUACAUAUUGUUUUCUAUAAUUUUUGGUCAGGCCAAUUAGUACAGUUUAUUAGUCAAAGUCUCCCAUGUUACAGGGAUCGACUACACUGACCUUUGCGCAUUACGACUUGGAUAUCUCCCUGCACAGAGCUUCAAUACUGAUGCCGUUUGUUUCUAUAGAAAAAAGACUCAUAGAGGAAUCUAUACAUAUAUGGCAUGACUCCUAAUUAUCUCUGUUUAAUUUAUAAUGAAUUUCCAAAGUCGGAACAGGGAAUCCAGAAACCGUUCUGGCCCUGUCUCACGAGAACCUGAAUAUCUCUUAACAUACUGUCCAUAUGAUCGUUUCGUUACUUUCCUAUGAAAAUAGAUUCAUCAAGGUUCGUUUACAUAAUUUAUUCAUUAUUUAAUUCCAAUCCUACUAUUUUUAGUGAUUUUCCCAAAUCUACAUCACUGCUGCUGCCAGCAUCUGCCUUUAAGGUAGACUUUACCUAUUUCAUAGUUUUCAUGAUUCAACUAGCCCUUUUAGCAUAAAUAGCACAAAUUAUGAUAGUGAUUAACCAUUCCAUACCAAAUGAUUAUAACAUUAUGCUCAAACAUAUAUAAGCCAUUUUCGCAUGGCUAUAUACAUUAACAAAAAUAUUCUUCCGCCGCUAGUCUAUUUUAUACAUGCCAUAAGAUAAUCCAAAACAUAGCAGUACCAAACAGUGGAUAGUGAUAGUGUGACUAGUUGCUGACGAUCCCCGAGCCUGUAGCUUCACAAUGAGAUCUAUAAAACAGAGGAAACAGAGUAAACGGAGUAAGCAUUACAAUGCUUAGUAAGUUUUAAGCAGUGUCAACAGGUAACAAUCAAAUUAUAACAUAGUUGUUCGUAUUUUUAUUUCACUCUUCCUUCGGGCAUACCAUCCCUUUACCGAAUAUGCACAUCUCAUCAUAUACAAUAGGCAGAUAAACUUUCACAUAAAAGUGAGCUCAUGUGACAUAGAUAUAUCGUAUGAUUUCACAUCACCUCUCACACUGAUCCGAUGUCACAUAAUCCUAGGAAUAGUCUCAUAGAUUGCUCUCGUAUGCAUCACAUAACUACCUUAUGAUUUAGUGCAAAUCAAGCUCACAUAUAAACUUGGAGUACAUACCUGUUUAACCUUUCGCAUUGAAUAUAUUUAUAAGCAAUUCUUAUUACGAAGUCUUACCCGGACAUAAUCUCCACACGAAGUUAUCGGGUCUUACCCGGACAAAAAUUCCCACACGUAGUCAUCGGGUCUUUAGAGCUCAGAUAUAGUACGAGCACGAAGCUUACGGACAUUAAUCAGUGAUAAUAUUCUCGCAUAAAGCCUGCGGGGUUUUAACCCGGAUAUAGUACUGACACAAAUGCCCUUCGGGACUUAUCACAUUUAUGCACUUUCACAUCCAUCACGUUGGCCACUCGGCCCCGUCACAUAUAUACACUUUCACAUUCAUCACAUCGGCCAUUAGGCCUUAUCACAUAUAUACACUUUCACAUUCAUCACAUCGGCCAUUAGGCCUUAUUACAUAUAUACACUUUCACAUUCAUCACAUCGGCCAUUAGGCCUUAUCACAUAUAUACACUUUCACAUUCAUCACAUCGGCCAUUAGGCCUUAUCACAUAUAUACACUUUCACAUUCAUCACAUCGGCUAUUAUCACACAUAUACACUUUCACAUUCAUCACAUCGGCUAUUAGGCCUUAUCACACAUAUACACUUUCACAUUCAUCACAUCGGCUAUUAGGCCUUAUCACACAUAUACACUUUCACAUUCAUCACAUCGGCCAUUAGGCUUUAUCACUUAUAUAUACACUUUCACAUUCAUCACAUCGGCCAUUAGGCCUUACUAUCAUUUCAUAUUCGAAUACUCAUAAACUUACAAUAUCACGAUUUAGAAUUCAAGUAUGGGUUUAAUUAAUAGCUUAUGAGCAACAAAAACAAGUUUAUCAAGGUUCACAACAUAAUCUCAAAUUCAGCACAAGCUAUUUUCCCUGAGCAAUAGUCACUAAAUUAUUUAUAACUGGAGCUACAAAACUCCAAAUCACUUUCCGUUAAUUUUUCCUGAAUAUAGACUCGUAUAUCUUCCAUCCAUAAAAUUUCCAGAAUUUUAGGUUUGGCCAAUCAAUACCAGAUUUUUCUUAAAGUUUCCCCUGUUUCACUGUUUGACUAAUCUGACCACUCUUCACUACGAAUCAAAUUUCUCAUUUUACUGAAUUCAAAAUGUGUUUUAUUUGAUUUAAUUUGAAACUAGACUCAUUAAGGAGUCUAAGCAUAUAAAUUUUAUCUUAUAACCAUUUUUGUACAAUUUAUAAUGAUUUUCUAAAAACAGAACAGAGGAUUUCAGUGUCAUUCUACGCUGUCUCACACAACUUUAAGUAUCUCGUUAUCGGAAAUUCCUUUCCUUACACGGUUUCUUUUAUAAGAAACUAGACUCAUUAAGCUUUAAUUUCAUACUCAUACAGUCUCUAAUUCAAAUCCAUAAAUUUAUGGUGAUUUUCUAAAUUCACGUUGCUGCUGCUAUCCUAAGCAGACUAUUUCAAAUUACCCUUGAAUUCCCAAGCUCAAACACUUAAGAACUUACCAUUUGAGCUUAGAACAUAUCAUGGCCACAUCAUAUCUUAUUAAAUCAACUCAUCAUGUCCUAUUAUAAUUGAAUUUACUCAACGUUUAAUCACUUAAAACUUACCUCGGAUGUGGUCGAACAAUUUCGGCGGCUAUUCGAUCACUUUUUCCUUUCCCUUAUCCAACUGUGGUCCUCUAAGCUCUUGAGCUAAUUCAAACAAAUUUAACUUAUUAAAGUCUCAUUAUGCUAGCUUAUGGCCGAAUAUGACAAGGAGUUUGAUUGGUCAUAUGGCCACCUUCUAGCUCAACUACACAAUGGUCAUAUGCAUUUUUUAAUCACAUCAAGCAAUUUAAUACAAUUCAUUCGAACAUCAAAAGAAAACCUCAAGGUACUUAGCCCAUAUAUACUUUAGGCAUGAGAGUCACAUAUAUAUAUGGAAUCAUGAAUCAAAAUCAACAUUUUAGCUAAUAUUCCCCCUUGGCCGAAUUUUCUAAGCCAAGACAAAAGCAUCAAUAUGCUUGCCUCUAACCGAAUACAUGCAACACCAAUCUUCUUCCUAUGGCCGAAUAUGCAUGUCUAUGUUUAGGCCGAUUAUAUACUUAAUACCACACAUAAAUGGCAUACAUUUUACUAACUAAUGCAUUACAUAUUAUUUAACCAUGUAUAUCACCAAUCAAUUUUAUCACAAUUUCACUUAAGCCUAUUCUCAAUACAAUACAUCGUGCUCAAAUCAUUAUUCAAGUUCAAAUUCGGCCAGCACACAUAUACAUACUAGCAACUAUGUAUUAACAUUGCAUUUCAUACUAUAACCGAAUGUAUAGCUCAUCGAAAUAUAUUUAUUCAUGUUCCCUUAACACAUAUUGGUCGACUAGAUCAUGCAUUAUUCUUUGGCACAUUUGGUCAUUAAAGCAAUCACCUAUUUAACUUUCAAGCAUUUUUAUACUAACAUUUCUCCCAAGGCCGAAUUUAUAUACAACCUUUAGUACUCAUUUAAAGUUUAUAAUUUAAGUAAUUAAUAUACACAAUAUUAACCAAAUAUCCAUUUACUAAGCAUUUUAACAAAUUUUCCUUCAACUAUCCACACAUUCGGCAAUCACAUAAUCAAACACUAAACCUUAACUUCCAAGCCAAAACAACUAGCAAAUUCAACACAUCCAACAUAAAUUUCCAUGCUAAUGACAUCAAAACAACUACUAAGAAUUUCAAGCUCCUUGGCCGAAUUUCAAUCUUCCAAAAUAACAAAAAUUUGAGCCAUGAAAUAGGUAGAAUUCAAACUAACCAUUCAAUUUAUGCAUGAAUUUCCAAGAGUAGCAUUGUACAUACCUUGAUCUAGCAAUCUCCUUAGCUGAAAAUUUUAACAACAAAAGGAAAUUUCUUCUCCACCCUUUCCUAGCUACGGCAAUGGAGGAAUAAACCAACUUUGGUUUCUCCUCCCACUAACACAUUAUUUUUAUUACCCAUACUCUUUUAUUCAUCUUUAAUUCAUCUAAUACAUUUUUUUAUUACAUAUUUCUCACCACUAAUAAAUAUAAUAAUAUUAACCCAUGCAUAUAAUGCCCAUACUUAUAAGCUUGGCCGGCCACUAGCAUUAAAAGUGGCAAAUUAGCAUGCAAACCCACUUAUUUGCAUCAUUCAAUAAUUAAUCACCUAAAAUAAGCCACACAUAUAUUCAAAGCUUCUCACAUAAGUCCUUUUUAUUUAGAAACACAUUCAAAUUGACAAAAAUCAAAGCAUUCAAAUUUCACACAUGCAUGAUCACAUAUUUUAGACAUAAAAUAUUAUAUUCAAUUAUUUCUGCAACUCAGUUUAGCGGUCCCGAAACCACUUCCCGACUAGGGUCAAAUUAGGGGUGUCACACCCCAAUCCAUCUUGGAACUCAUAAUGUCCAUCUCUUUAACAGAAAGGUUGGAUAACAGAUUUCCCGCUCCAGAGGGACCAUCGAAUUUCACAAUACCCAAUUUAAUAAAUCUUUCGAUUAGCUUUUUAAAAGCGGUACAGUUCUCGAUGGAAUGCCCCGUGAUUCCCGCAUAGUAUUCACAUUGACUGCUUGCAUCGUACCAUUUAGGGUAUGGGCAGUAUAGGUUUCAUGUAAAAAGGAGAUACAACAUGUAUGUCGAACAGAACGCGGUACAACUCUUUGUACGUGAUUGGAAUGGGCGUAUAUUGGGGUUUUUCUGAGUUUGGUCUUCAAUUAUGUUCUUGCCUUGGGGAGGCCUGAUGGCUGGUGGUUACUGUCCUUGACUGGCUUACUAUAACCGGCUCCGAACGACCCCUUCCAUACCUACUCGUGCUAUUUGCUUUCUUUUCCUUCUUCUUCGGGGCCUUUAAAGUCCACUCUCCUUUUUCCUUCAUUUCCGACAGAACAACUGGCUUGGCUCGAUUAUCUUCAGGGUUAAAACCUGAACCCAUCGAGAAGCUCAACAGUGCCGAUGUAUCCGUCUGAUAUUGGAGUUCGAUAACAAUGGGUACCCCUUGCAUGUCUGGUUGGGUCAGGACACUUAUUGGGGUAAAACCAGGGGAAUAGAUGAUCUCUUCAUUAUCAUCCUCACUAUUAAUCACUGGGCCACUCCUUUUUUCAAAUUCUCCGGCCAGUAACUGGGUUAACUGGCCCAUCAUAUUUCUUUGGAGCUCUAGCAUUUCUCGCAUAUCUUGUUGAAUUUUAAUCAAUUGCCCUUGCAUCUGUAUUUGCCUUUGCUCUAUUCUCUCCAACCUUUGGUCCAUAUUCUUUGUCGGUUCUGAAAUAAUUUUACCUAAUUAAGGUCAUUUUGGGAAAAUCUAAUGCAAAUGAUGCAAUGCAAUGCAAUGCAAAUGCAUGGGAUGAAUGCAAAGGAAAGAAAGAUGUUGAUUUUGAAUUCAAUUCCCUUAGAACAACUUUUCUAUAAAACAAAUUCUUUUUCAUAAAACGGAUUAUGUAUACGGCCUUGCUUUCGUAUUCCAGGCGAAGGCACUGAUCCCCUUUCUUUGUGAGAGUCAAAUCUCGCAAGCUUUCAAUGCAUGCCUCUACUAGCUCCUUUUUGCUUGAUCCAGGCCACAAAUUACUAUCCUCGCAAUGUUGAUUAGCUCCUUUAAGAAAGUCAGGACGCGACGACUUUUGGAUAAUCUUUAUCAGCUUGAAUCCUUAGGUAAAGUUUGGUUUUCCUCCAAGAACUGUUAGCCUUCUUCUGUCGUGUUCACUUGGACCAAAUUCGGACAACCGUAUUGUAAUCCGCGUUAUUAAGAAAUUCAUUUUCUUAUAACAAACUGUUCUAUUUAGCAAUCGAGUAUGAAUCAACACCUCCUUUCUAUAAUGAUGUAAUGCAAUGCAGUCAUGAACAAACAAAAAACAAAACACGUUAGUAUAGAAAUAAAUAACCAACAAAGUACCUAAUCGGGUGAUCACUAGGGGUUCAGAGUGGCUCUACCUAGGGUAACCUCCUAGGUCUCUCUAUAUGUGGCUCGGUUCUAGAGUAAGGGUACCUAAGUCAGCAGAUUCCUCGAUCCUCACCCAUUAUAGGCUCAUACAGAUCGAGUUCAGUUCAUGGGAAUACAUUUCCCUAUAACCAUGCGGAGAUGAAAAUCUCACGAAAUCAUAGGUACGAAUGUAUCCCGGAAGUAAUCCUUUUUGCUUGAUCCAGGCCACGAAUUACUAUCCUCGCAAUGUUGAUUAGCUCCUUUAAGAAAGUCGGGACGCGACGGCUUUUGGAUAAUCUUUAUCAGCUUGAAUCCUUAGGUAAAGUUUGGUUUUCCUCCAAGAACUGUUAGCCUUCUUCUGUCGUGUUCACUUGGACCAAAUUCGGACAACCGUAUUGUAAUCCGCGUUAUUAAGAAAUUCGUUUUCUUAUGACAAACUGUUCUAUUUAGCAAUCGAGUAUGAAUCAACACCUCAUUUCUAUGAUGAUGUAAUGCAAUGCAUUCAUGAACAAACAAAAAACAAAACACGUUAGUACAGAAAUAAAUAACCAACAAAGUACCUAAUCGGGUGAUCACUAAGGGUUCGGAGUGGCUCUACCUAGGGUAACCUCCUAGGUUUCUCUAUAUGUGGCUCGGUUCUAGAGUAAGGGUACCUGAACCAGCAGAUUCCUAGAUCCUCACCCUUUAUAGGCUCAUACGGAUCGAAUUCAAUUCAGGGGAAUACAUUUCCCUAUGACCAUGCAGAGAUGAAAAUCUCACGAAAUCAUAGGUACGGAUGUAUCCCGAAAGUAAUCCACUAGCCCAUGCGGAGGUGAAAACCUCACGAAAGCAUAGUUUCUUACUCCCACUUAGAAGGUGUGACCACAGCGAUCACAAAAUGCAGUAUUAUUCUAAAAGCUCGAACCAUAACAAUUAUACGAACAAAUGCAAUCAUGAUUUUCAAAACAAAUUUUCAGUUUUUGACAAAAGAAUAGCAAACAAUCAAUUUUAUGGCUUGACUCUCUCGAUAGUCCCCAUUGAAGUCGCCAAGCUGUCGAAACCACCCUUUUAAUUUUAAAUUUUAAGGUUUAAUGAAAAACAGACGAGGAUCGACUUUUUGAAAAUAAAACGUGGAGUCGCCACCGAUCUUUUUGUUUAGGUGAGAUCGGAACACCUAAGAAUUUGGUUAUUUUAAUAAAAUAUUUUUGGUUUACUAAAACAACGAUUCUGGUCUACGAAAAUAGGAGAAAACGGGCUCGAGAGUCGGUUACGUAUGACGAAGGAUUAGCACCCUCACUACGCCCAAAAUUGGUACCAAAUCGAUUAAAUACUGUCCUUAUAUCUAAAAUUUAAAGAUGUUUUUGAAAUGUGGUUCUUUUUUAAUAACAUUCGAGUAACCCGAGUUGGUUGCCAAAACCUUCUUGUUUCGACGUUCGAAAGCUAUAAUUCGAAAAUUACAAAAGGAUGCCCAACUAUUUGGUCCAACAAAAAACCGAAACCCAGCACAGUAGGGCACGAUUCCUUGAAUUUCCAAACAUUGAACAUUGCCUCACCUUAUAAAAUACGAGUGAAAUUUCGAAGAGAUAUUCGAUUAUUUUGACCAAACGGGAAAUUGCUACCCAGCACGAUAGGGUACUAUUCCCCGAAUUGCCAAACAUCGAACACUUCUUUCGUUUUAAAGGACUUUUAGAAAACGUGAAUGAAAUUUCGAAGGGAUCUUCGAUUGUUUAGACCAAAUGAAAAAAAAAGCGCAACCCAGCACGAUAGGGCACGAUUCUCAAAUCGCCAAGCAUCGAACAUCCUUUGUUUUGAAAAGUUUUUAAUAAACAUGAGUGAAAACCUAAAGGAAUAUUCGAUUAUUUUGAGCAAAUGAGAAAUCACAACCCAGCACGAUAGGGCAUGAUUCCCGAAUUGUCAAACGCCGAAUAUUGCUUUCGUUUUAAAGAAUUUUUUAAAAGGCAUGAGUGAAAUUUUGAAGGAAUAUUCGAUUAUUUUGAGCAAACGCGAAAUUGCAACCCAACACGUUAGGGCACUAUUCCGUGAUCGAAUUGUCAGAUAUCGAAUCUCGUCUUCGUUUUAAAGGAUUUUUAAAUGAAUACUUAUAAAACUAGCUUAAAACGUAUUAAUGCAUUUUUUGAAAUGAGACGAAAUUAAUCGUAAAAAUUUGAAUUUAUAAAACCACAUUUCAUAAACCAAGUGGAAAACAAUAAUAUAGGAUAACGUACACACCUAAGAUACAAUACUUGAUGAAUGAAGACAAUGUGUCUUAUUUAAACAACUAACAAAACAAAUAAUUAAAUAAAACUAACCAAAAAUAUAACCUAAUUUCAAAAAUGUACGGAGAAUAAUUAAUAUAACAAUACAAAACAAUGAAUAAAUAAUAUGCAACAACAAUGUAUGGCACCAUAUAAAUCAAUCAACAAAACACGUACAAAACAAAAUGGAGUUUAGAAGUUGGUGUGGUAUACAACAUUUUCCAAAAUAAUGAUGAAUUAAUGAACACAUAAUAUAUAAGUUGACAAAUUUGCAUAAAGACUAGGGAUAUAUAUAAUUAUUGAAAUAGAUAUUAUAGAAUAAGAGCUUGAAUCAAAUUAUAUGCAAAAUAUUUUAAACACAAAUUCAUUUAAAAAUCGACAGUGUACAUGAUAACUUAAAUAGUAUAUAUAAUAUGAAAGAACAAUUAAAAAUACAUGAUAAGAUAUAUAUAGGAAAUAAGUGGUAAAUAAAAUGAAUAUAUAUAUGGUUUAAGGUAGAUAUAUAUAUAAGUAUAAGAUACAUAAUACGAAAGAGGAAUCUUAAAAUGAGUAAUAAAUAAAAGAUUUUAAAAUAAAUAAAUAAAGUUUAAGAAUAUAUUUAAAAUAAAAUAUAAAUAGUUUAAAAUAUAAUACAUAAAAGAAAAUCUGAAAUAGGACACUGUAUAUAUAAGAAGGUUUAUAUAUGAAUAAUAUAUAUAAAAACGUUAAAGAUAGAUAAUGUUAAUAUAUACAUAAAAGUUUAAAAUAAUAAUAUACAAAUAAUAAAACUCACAACAAAUAAUAAAACAUUUUUUAAAAUAUAUAUGUAUAUAAAAAAAUAUGUAAAACAAAAUGUAUAUAAAACUAUUCAAAAUGAAUGACAUGAAACAGUUUAAUACAAAGUUUAAAAUAACUAAAAUGGUUUUAAAUAAAUAAAAAGGUUUAAAUAUAUACGAACAAGGGCUUGAUUGACAAAUAGAAUGCAAUUUUAAGGUCCAAAUUCUAAAAAGGCGAACACAGGUAUAUAAAAAGGGACUAAAUCAAAAUCCAAAUAAAAUUUUAAAGGAGAAUUCAAGUAUAAAAAUGUAACAAGGGACCGAUUUGAAACAUGCGAAUAAUGAGUAAGGACUAAAGUGGGGAAUAACCCGCCCUCCAAAACCCGCGGUUUCAAACGGACCACAUUGAAACUGAAAUGAAAUUCAAAGGCAUAAAUUAAGAAUAAAAAAACAAUUGAAUUAAAACAUAAUAAAAUGUGGAAGGACUUUAUUCGAAAAUAACCCAAAAAUAAAAAACGCGUGGAUCCCCUGGCGGGUCGGAUCACGCGCAUGGAUCAUGGCUUAAAACGGCGCCGUUUUAAGGCCAUUGUAACUGACCCAAAACGACGUCGUCUGAUCGUCCUACAAAAGCAAAAAUUUUUUGAAAAAUAUCAAUCUUCUACCCCUUUAAAGAAAAAAUUUGAAACGCCCCUAAAUGCUCUCAAACCCCUUCGUCUGAAUGCUGAUUCCAGCGAGAAAAAGGGGGCACCACGGUGGCAACGGGCGAAACCCAGGUGAGAUCUUCGUUCUCUCUUUCUCCCCCUCCUAUAUUUCUUUCUUUUAAUCCCUAGAAAAAUAAUGGAAAUCGAUGCAGAAAAGGAAUGAAUAAAUUGAAGGUAAAGGUACCACCUUUAGAAACUUUUGCUUUUCUGAUUGCUUUGUAAAUCUAUUUUUUGUAUUCCAGUAUGUCUAAUAUACGCGUAUUGCCUCCUCAUUACAAUGAAAAUAAGGUUUUUAUAUAGCCGAAAAUAAAAAAUAGAAAAAUACAAAAAAUUUCCUUUUCUAUUAUUUUUCUCCUUGUUGCUUUUUUUGCUGUGCUGUUCUUGUCUUCAUGCAGGUACGAAUGUAUGGAGCUUGGUGGUCGUACGGUGCUGCGUUGGCGGUGAGGACAAAGGGCUGCUUGGUGGCUACUGCAGCGCGCCUUGCUACUUAGGGUAGCUGUUUGGCUAAACCUAUGUUUAGGUUUUGGGCCAUUGGGCCACAUUGUAAAUGGAUAUUUGGGUCUUGGUUUAGUUGAGCUAUUUGUAAUAGUUUUGGACUGUUAUAAAAUUUAAAUUUUGAUCUUGUAUUUGGGUUAAUAUCGGACUUUUAUUAUUAGAUUUUUAUUUUUUAUUUUUAGUCUGUUUGUAACGGGUCGGGAAAAUUUGGCCCAGUGCACGGCAAAUUCUUGUAGAAUUGUUGGAAAUGUAGUGUGCUAUUGUAUUAGUGGACUGAUGGUUUAUUGCUUGAAAAAUUGUGUCAAAAAGUUAACUACU
rnacentral:lncRNA from 1 species